rnacentral:rRNA from 1 species
CCUACGGGUGGCUGCAGUGAGGAAUAUUGGUCAAUGGGCGAGAGCCUGAACCAGCCAAGUCGCGUGAGGGAGUACUGCCCUAUGGGUUGUAAACCUCUUUUGUCGGGGAGCAAAAGCCGGACGUGUCCGGCUGUGAGAGUACCCGAAGAAAAAGCAUCGGCUAACUCCGUGCCAGCAGCCGCGGUAAUACGGAGGAUGCGAGCGUUAUCCGGAUUGAUUGGGUUUAAAGGGUGCGCAGGCGGAUUUUUAAGUCAGCGGUCAAAUCGUGGGGCUCAACCCCAUCCAGCCGUUGAAACUGGGGAGCUAGAGUGCGCGAAGGGUAGGCGGAAUGCGUGGUGUAGCGGUGAAAUGCAUAGAUAGCACGCAGAACUCCGAUCGCGAAGGCAGCCUACCGGCGCGCAACUGACGCUCAUGCACGAAAGCGUGGGUAUCGAACAGGAUUAGAUACCCCAGUAGUC